UUCUAUAAAACACUAAUACAAAAUCAGAUUUACCCUAAUCUGCAAAUUCGAGCUGAUUGAAGAAAACCCCAGAGGGUUUUCCGAAGAAAAUCAAAACGAAUAACAGAUAUAGGGAAACGAUUUGGCGUCAGCUCAUACACAACGAACAUAAACAAGUACGGUGGUAAUCAGUAAUAUUGACGCACAAUUU
rnacentral:sRNA from 1 species